AGUGAACGCUGGCGGUAGGCCUAACACAUGCAAGUCGAACGGCAGCACAGUAAGAGCUUGCUCUUACGGGUGGCGAGUGGCGGACGGGUGAGGAAUACAUCGGAAUCUACUUUUUCGUGGGGGAUAACGUAGGGAAACUUACGCUAAUACCGCAUACGACCUACGGGUGAAAGCAGGGGAUCUUCGGACCUUUCGCGAUUGAAUGAGCCGAUGUCGGAUUAGCUAGUUGGCGGGGUAAAGGCCCACCAAGGCGACGAUCCGUAGCUGGUCUGAGAGGAUGAUCAGCCACACUGGAACUGAGACACGGUCCGGACUCCUACGGGAGGCAGCAGUGGGGAAUAUUGGACAAUGGGCGCAUGCCUGAUCCAGCCAUACCGCGUGGGUGAAGAAGGCCUUCGGGUUGUAAAGCCCUUUUGUUGGGAAAGAAAAGCAGCAGGUUAAUACCCCGCUGUUCUGACGGUACCCAAAGAAUAAGCACCGGCUAACUUCGUG
rnacentral:rRNA from 1 species